rnacentral:rRNA from 1 species
GACGAACGCUGGCGGCGUGCUUAACACAUGCAAGUCGAACGGAAAGGCCCUGCUUUUGUGGGGUGCUCGAGUGGCGAACGGGUGAGUAACACGUGAGUAACCUGCCCUUGACUUUGGGAUAACUUCAGGAAACUGGGGCUAAUACCGGAUAGGAGCUCCUGCUGCAUGGUGGGGGUUGGAAAGUUUCGGCGGUUGGGGAUGGACUCGCGGCUUAUCAGCUUGUUGGUGGGGUAGUGGCUUACCAAGGCUUUGACGGGUAGCCGGCCUGAGAGGGUGACCGGCCACAUUGGGACUGAGAUACGGCCCAGACUCCUACGGGAGGCAGCAGUGGGGAAUAUUGCACAAUGGGCGGAAGCCUGGUGCAGCAACGCCGCGUGCGGGAUGACGGCCUUCGGGUUGUAAGCCGCUUUCGCCUGUGACGAAGCGUGAGUGACGGUAAUGGGUAAAGAAGCACCGGCUAACUACGUG